rnacentral:rRNA from 1 species
CCUACGGGAGGCAGCAGUGGGGAAUUUUGGACAAUGGGCGCAAGCCUGAUCCAGCAAUGCCGCGUGAGUGAAGAAGGCCUUCGGGUUGUAAAGCUCUUUUGUCAGGGAAGAAACGGCCGAGGCUAAUACCUUUGGCUAAUGACGGUACCUGAAGAAUAAGCACCGGCUAACUACGUGCCAGCAGCCGCGGUAAUACGUAGGGUGCAAGCGUUAAUCGGAAUUACUGGGCGUAAAGCGUGCGCAGGCGGUUUUGUAAGUCUGACGUGAAAUCCCCGGGCUCAACCUGGGAAUUGCGUUGGAGACUGCAAGGCUGGAGUCUGGCAGAGGGGGGUAGAAUUCCACGUGUAGCAGUGAAAUGCGUAGAGAUGUGGAGGAACACCGAUGGCGAAGGCAGCCCCCUGGGUCAAGACUGACGCUCAUGCACGAAAGCGUGGGGAGCAAACAGGAUUAGAUACCCUGGUAGUCCACGCCCUAAACGAUGUCUACUAGUUGUCGGGUCUUAAUUGACUUGGUAACGCAGCUAACGCGUGAAGUAGACCGCCUGGGGAGUACGGUCGCAAGNUUAAAACUUAAUGAAUUGACGG